rnacentral:tRNA from 1 species
GCCAGAGUGGUGAAAUUGGUAGACACAGGGGAUUCAAAAUCCCCCGCUCGUGAGAGUGUGGCGGUUCGAGUCCGCCCUCUGGUACCA